rnacentral:lncRNA from 1 species
AGAGUUUCAAUUUUUUCUUUUUUCUUUGGGCUGAUCUGAUGAGUGUGACUAAAUUGGGCCUAUUUUUGUUUUAAAACAUUAGCCCAAUAGUGGAAAUGAGUCCAUCCAUGGUAUUUAAUAUUUCCUCCAACCCAAACUCAAUUUGAAACCGGCAACAAAGAUGUAAUGUGCAAACAAACGCUGCAAACCCUUCAAUUUCCAGAUU